GCCCGCUCGGCCCAGACUCUCCCGUCGCGCGUGCAGAGGCCGCUCGGUCCUCCCCGCACUCCCUACUCCCCGCCGCCUCCCCAUCCCUAAUCCCCGCACCCUCACCACUCCUCACCGCCUCUCCCUCCUCCUCCUCCGGUAAGGCUCGUGCAGAGGCGGGAGCGGCGCCGCCGGCGGAGGCGCGGCUGCAUGGGAACGGCGCCGUUGGGUGGAGGCGCUGCGGGAGCGGCGCCGCCGGUGGAGGCGCGAGCCCGUAGGAGUGGCGCAGACACGGUCAACGGCGUGGUGGCCGCGGCGGGUGCUGUUGCCGAUGAUAGCGAGGAUGAGCAUUGCCAUGCCACCAGCAGCAGGACGGACCCGCAUCGAUGGGUCCUAACCUCGGCAAGGUUCGUCUUCCUCGGCCGCUGCCGCUCUGCAGUUGCUGGCGCCAUACACCUCAGCGCUAAAGCAGAUGAGCGCGGACCGCUAGGACGUCCUCAACAAGUGGACGCGUCAUCAUGAGUAGCACGGACGCGCAGAGAUUGAUACGCAGCUGAGCCACCUCGCCGGCAUGUUCAUCCUCACUGACCCAGGCAAGAUUAGGUGCUCGUGGCUUCUCCUAUUCCUCUCCCACCUCCCACCUCUCACAUUUUAAUCUUUCCCCCAUCCAAUUUUAGUGCUUUAUAUGUGUGGCCAUUGCAAAGGGAUGUCUCCUUAGUCUAAUACGUGACGCUGAUUGAUCUGAUUUGCUUUGGAUAUAGUUUCUCUGGUUUCAUAAUAAUUAUGCUUGCGAGGUGUUUGACGAAUUGUCCACAUGAGCGCUAAUACGUUUUCUUUGCUUAUGGUGCAAGCUGCAAGUUCUAGCCGAGGCCAGUACGAGCUUGCUCUUACUCGAGAUGUCGGGUCUGCUAUGGCAUGAGUGAAGAUGGUUCCUAAUGGUGCACAUAAGUAUGAUAAGCCGGGGUGGAGCUCACUGACCUGAUUCAGAAAAAUGACAUCCUCUCUGUGCAUUUUUUUUUUUGUAGAUGUUUAUGCAGGGGUGGUCUGAUAGGGCUGAAGGAAGGCAUUAGCAGAAUGAAUGGACGGACGAAUGAGGCUGGCAGAGAUGGGAAACUCAUGCUUGACGGUGUCUAGCAGUUCAGGUUUAAUGUAGUGAUCAGUUGGAUACUGCAAUUGGGAUUUUGAUUUUGUUAUGAUAUGGUUAGCGCCUAGGGAGACAAGUUUAGACCGAUGUAAAAAUACAAGGGAAAAUUUAGCUCAAGGUGUUAGGCUGCUUAGUGAAAUAUCGUCUCCUCGCCCCUUCAUACACUCCAUCACCAAUGGAUUUCAACAAAUCUUGCAGGUUCUGGGGCAGGCCACACCACAGCAGAAACUAGAGCUCAGUUUUUUUCCGUAUUCAUGCUAUAUGCGGCUCUAUUGGUGAUUCUUUUUUUCCUUCCCUUUGUUGUACAAUACUUGCACCUGUUGUUUGGAAACUUGGUGAGUUGGGGAAAAUAGCUGGUUGACUGGUCCUGGAUGGCUGAUGCUUGGUUUUCAGUUGCUGUGGAAUAGACUUUGGCUAUUGAGUCCUCUCUUUUUUAUUGUUUAUAAGCAACUUCGAUGCCAUGUCUUUCUUCUGAAUUAUUUGAGAGUUGUAAAUGAGGUUUGUAUCUCACAAGGCUAUUGAAAUGGGUGUACAUGGUUUAAGAUACGAUGAUGUUGAAAGGUACUCAGGCUGGUGGAUUUGGUUUUGGCAAUGUUCUAGGUGAUUGUUGUUCAUUUCAAAUGGACCGGGAUAAGCUAAAAAAUCGUUCGGUUGUAUCACUAUCAUAGUUCAUUGCUUCGUCAGUUGGAUUGUCGGUAAGAAUCUGUCUGUAUUUAGAUCAUUUUGCUCACUGCAUUUUGUUAUAUGAUUUGUCAUUGAGUUUCACAGCUCAUUUGUGCCAUUGACUUCUACUUACCCAUUGGCUUUCACUUAGGAUGCAUCCACCUGCGUUGUUUAUGUCUAUAGCUGGUGACUCAUGAUUGCCUAGCGAAGAAAAUGGUUAUUUUGUCUGUUAGUUGUAACUCCCGCUCUGUCUCUUUGUAACAUGCUGUUUUAUAUGCUUAUGGAAUUUUCUUGAAGCUUGAACCAUUGUGCAGAUUUGAGUUUUCUCUAAUAUUGUGGCAGAUUUAGUAAGUAUCUGUCGGCCUCUUUCUAAAAUGUUGUUUUAUAUGCUUAUGGUUUUAUAUGCUUAUGAUAUUCCGUUGAAGCUUGGAUCACAGGGCAGAUUUGAGUUUUCUCUGAUCACGUGGCAAAUUGUGGCAAGGGUUUAGGGGCUGGACGUUUCAUGAUUGAAAUUAUAGAAUAAUAGCUCGAAAUGUAAAGCCAUUUAGUUUGAGCAAAUAAAUGGGUCCUUAUGUUAAAAAAUUGCUUUGCCAUACUAAAACUAGAUUUAUUCAAGAUGUUCUUGAGCUGCAAUUUUAGAAAAUAGUUAAGUUUCCUGUGUUUUUGUUCAUUGGGUAGCUCUGAAAAAUUCUCCAACAAAGAUGGUGCCCGAGGAACACCUCUGCUUUGGUCAUACAUGUACUUCUUUAUACUGAACCAAUCAAUAUGUCACCAAAAUCACAAAGAUGGUGCACGAGGAGCAGACUGUUAUCACGUAUUCUCAUCUUGAGCUUCCUAUGUUCAAGGUGUAUGCCUUUUAUGAAACUCACUUCGAGUAGGUAAUGGUUCAACCUUUAGAAACUCACUUCUAGAAGCUCUUAAGACUAAUACUUAAUGCUAUUAAUUCCAAGUGGCUUUUCCUAAUGAUGCUCUUUUAUUGAUAUUUUAGGCCAUGGUCAUCUUUUUAGUAUGGCCAGGUUGUCACUUAAAAUUUCUCUAUAAGGAAUUCUCUCAAUCUCAUUACAUGGAUAUUUGAUAUGUUGUCCAUGAUAAGAAUAUAUCACAACCCUAUAGCGAAUAUGUGCUUCUUUUCUCCUAUUUAUAUGCAUAUAUUACCGCAAGUAGUACAAGGUUCCUCUGGAAUUCAAUUUGGUAGCUAAGCUUAUUGAUCUUUCACUGGCCAUGGGUCAGAUCAUUUUGUUUCUAGCUUCACCUUAAAAUUAUAAUUAUAUAUAUACAAUUUUGAAUUAUAAGUCAUUUUUAUUUGGCACUCCAAUUUUAUUUAUAACAAUUUCUAGAUCUAUGGGCACUCACAAAGAUGGUGUACAUGCAGUGAACUUGUAUGCCAAGUUCAGUUAUAUGCCUUGUCCUGAAGUAGCAUAGGAAGAUCUGGGAUUCAAGCAUUCUGCAUGAUCUCAUAUGCAAUGGUUACUUGUAUGUAUUACCAGACAGUAGUUUAGGUCAGAUUAGCGGAUUGAUGUUGUUGUUUGUUCAGAGAUAACUCACGCCAGAGUAGACCCCAUUUUUCUCUUUGUUGUUAAACUAUAGGCCUCUAGCUUCCUAUUCUGUUUCUAACAAUCAUCUAACUCAUAGUUUGUUAUGUUAUAAUAGCAGCAGUUUGCUGGAGAUGGUUGAACAUCUGCAAGGCUGCAGCCUUCUUCAUAUCCUCAGCUGCUUAUACUGGGCACCAUUUGUGACUGCCAAGUGGCAGAUGGUACCAAAAGAAAAUUAAUGCUUUUCCUCUAAAAGGCUGUGUUUCUUUCUUUUCUGUGUUCUUGCAGUUACCAGCUUGUUCAGUUUUGUUUGUAUUUUAAUUUCAUGGCAGAGUGACAUCAUCUCCAGUUAUGUUUUUAACCAUCAUUAAUUAUCUUCCUUUCAUAAGGCCCCAUUACUUCUCCUUUUUGGAUGUCUCCAUUCAUGUCCACUUAUGCUUCAAUUCUUUUCAUGUCAUACCUGAAUGUCUUGAUGAUUUUCUAUGUGCAUUUCUGUAUUAUCGAUCAUAUUCUUUCUUGCCUAACUUCUCCAUGCUUCUGUCUAUCUGAUGCUUAAUUAUGGAUCGUUGUUUCUUGCGUAACUUCUUCACGCUUUUUUCCUGUCUAAUGCUUAAUUAUGAACCUUCAUUUCUUGCAUAACUUGUUCAUGUUUUAUCUAUCUAAUACGCAGAUCAUUGCUACUUACAUAGCUUAGCUCCUCCUACUCUGGCAAUACCUACCUCUGCAGGAUACAAUUUUGUCCUGCUUCCUGACGGUAGCAGGGGCAUCGAGCAAGAGAUGGCCUAUAACCUUGCUGGCCUGUUCUCUGUCAACUACGAAGAAGAUACCCGAUAUACAAUGAUCUGGAUGCGGCUGCAAGUCCUCUGUUCCGCACAAAUUCUGCCAACAUCUUAACUCGUGCCGUGGACCUGCAGAUUCUGAUGGCCUUUACAUGUACCCUUUUGUUGGAGGAAGAAGGUUUGGCUGGAGCACCUGUUGAGUUGUGGCAGCCAGGAAGGAGCUGGUGAUGCACGGAGGCGGAGCUGGUGAAUGCAGAGACUGGAAACGGAGCCAUAGCCUGCUCAAAGACAUGAAACUAGAGUGUCAAUGAUGAUAUUUAGGAGCAUGCAAUGUCGGUGGAUAAAACAUGUUUCAAAUGUAAAAACAAAGCCGAGAUUGCUUGCACGUUUACAUGGUGGUGUCAUGUAUGUACGUGAGAGUUCUCUCGUGGGAAGAAUGUAAGCCUUGCGCCUUAUUUUCAAGUUCAAUGUUUUAAUAGUUACUCUUCCCGAGGACUGCGUUUUGGUUUCUUUCCAGUUUUCCGUUUUGGUUUCUUUCCAGUUUUCCCGUUUCAAAAUCGAGGAAGUUUUUGUUUCUUU